UUAAAUAUUAUCAAGAUGGCGUCUUUAUUUCCUGAUGUACGAUAAUCAUCGAGCCGACAAUCAUCGUACACACCGAAUACUACGCUAAUGGUUGACGCAUUUAAUCAUAAAUACUCGCUGAGCUACAUACAGUAUGUGGAGGCAAAUAUUUGGGAAAAUUAUAUUUGUAUUAUACAUUUUCAGAAAAUUAUUAGUAGAGUUGAGCUGCCUUUGCUCAAAAGUUGACAUUCCAAAAAAAAUGUAGUUCAGCUGGACCACAGCUUGUCCUCUCCGGGUCAAUGUCAGCCACCCACAGUGUGCGGAUGCAGCCUUUCCAGAGGCCGUAGUGGGCCAUCUGACAGCCACCCCCCCACCUUGACCAACCCCCGCCACACCGAUCCGACCCUCCUCAUCCUGUACGAAGAAGUUGGACCACAGACUCAUCUCAACAGGUCACCGGGCCCGGACCAGAAGAUCAGGCGACGGGUGGAGGACUCGG